UACGUAGGGUGCGAGCGUUGCCCGGAUUUAUUGGGCGUAAAGGGCGCGUAGGCGGCUCGGCACGUCCGUUGUGAAAUCGCUCGGCUCAACUGGGCGAGGUCAGCGGAUACGGUCGAGCUUGAGCCAGCUAGGGGGCAAUGGAAUUCCCGGUGUAGUGGUGGAAUGCGUAGAUAUCGGGAGGAACACCUGAGGCGAAGGCGGGCUACUGGGCCGAUACUGACGCUGAUGCGCGAAAGCCAGGGGAGCGAACGGG
rnacentral:rRNA from 1 species